ACGGAAGGCAGCAGUGAGGAAUAUUGGUCAAUGGGCGCAAGCCUGAACCAGCCAAGUCGCGUGAAGGAAGACGGCCCUACGGGUUGUAAACUUCUUUUAUACAGGGAUAAAGUCAGUUACGUGUAGCUGUUUGCAUGUACUGUAUGAAUAAGGAUCGGCUAACUCCGUGCCAGCAGCCGCGGUAAUACGGAGGAUCCGAGCGUUAUCCGGAUUUAUUGGGUUUAAAGGGUGCGUAGGCGGGCCCUUAAGUCAGCGGUGAAAUCCUGCGGCUCAACCGUAGGACUGCCGUUGAAACUGGGGGUCUUGAGUGCAAGUGAGGUAAGCGGAAUGUGUAAUGUAGCGGUGAAAUGCAUAGAUAUUACACAGAACACCGAUUGCGAAGGCAGCUUACUGGUAUGUAACUGACGCUGAGGCACGAAAGCGCGGGUAUCGAACAGGAUUAGAUACCCUGGUA
rnacentral:rRNA from 1 species